GGCUCGCGCCGUGGGUCCUGCUCGCGCUGCCUCCCUGCAGCGCCUUGCUCAGCGCGCCGCGUUAGCGUCUUUCACCUCUCUGCCUUCAAACCCAAGCGCUGGCGGAAGGAGUUUUCAUGCAUUUGUAGGUUGAUGACAAUGCUAUCAGAGGACUGGACUCCUUACUAGAAAAGAGCUUUGAAUUUACAAUUUUCAUUUCAUCCGAGCUAUUCAAGGGGGUGAGACUGGGUUUCAGAUUGACAAAUUGACAUUAGCUUUGUUUUGCUGCUUGCGCAUAGUACGUACACCCUUUUCAUUAUGAUUUCCAAGAGGAAGCUAAGCUGUAUAUUGAAGAAAGAAAGUACAAAAGAAAUGCAUUAACAUCUGAAUAUUAAUUAAUCAGUGAAAUGAACUACCGCAGUCCACUCAGGCUAGUAUUUUUUAACACCAUAUGCUUUGUCAAAACAAAAUAAUGCAACACCAUUCAAAAUGAAGGGGCAAAUCACUUAGCAUGUCCAGAGCACUAAUUCAUAAAAUUUAAGAGUUGGAUAAGUAUUUUGAAAUGCCUCAGAAUAGCAUUUUGUCUUCUAUGUAUUGUUCUCCACUGGGUUAGCAGAUUAUAACCUAAAAUGAGAUUUCUAGCAUUGCUUUUAUGCAAAAUUAUUAUUGACUUCAAUAUGAGUUUCAUCCACAGGUUAAUGGAAUGCCCCUAGAGUCUUUCUUUUAAGUAAAUAGUGAGCCUUAUUAUAAAGUAUAUUUUACUGAAAAAAAUUUUGAAAUAGGUAAGAACAGUAAAUAAUAAGUAACUAUUUAUGACAAAUUUAUUUUUUACUUGAUUCCU
rnacentral:lncRNA from 1 species